GAAGGGGGCGAGCGUUGUUCGGAUUUACUGGGCGUAAAGGGCGCGCAGGCGGCUGUUUUUGUCAGGCGUGAAAGCCCCGGGCUUAACCUGGGAACUGCGCUUGAGACGGGAUGGCUGGAGAUCGGGAGAGGAGAGUGGAAUUCCCAGUGUAGAGGUGAAAUUCGUAGAUAUUGGGAAGAACACCGGUGGCGAAGGCGGCUCUCUGGACCGAUACUGACGCUGAGGCGCGAAAGCGUGGGGAGCAAACAGGAUUAGAUACCCUGGUAGUCCACGCCGUAAACGAUGUGUGCUAGACGUUGGGGAGCCUAGCUCUUCGGUGUCGCAGCUAACGCUUUAAGCACACCGCCUGGGGAGUACGGCCGCAAGGUUA
rnacentral:rRNA from 1 species